ACACGCUAUGGGUUGGCAACUCUCGCGAGAGUUGGCCCGUGAGACUGUCAAGUGUCAACAACCAGGAGACGGCAGCACCUCCACCGCAGCAGAGCUGGUGUCCGGAGCUGGGAGGGGGCGCGACGAGGCAGCUGGAUCGUCGGAACUUGAGUGUGAGAUGGGGGAUGACCGCCCAUUUGUGUGCACUGCCCCAGGAUGUGGGCAGGGAUUCACCAAUGAAGAUCAUCUUGCUGUGCAUAAGCACAAACAUGAAAUGACAUUAAAAUUUGGUCCUGCCAGAACAGACUCUGUCAUCAUAGCAGACCAGACCCCCACUCCCACUCGCUUCCUGAAGAACUGCGAGGAAGUUGGACUAUUCAACGAGCUGGCCAACUCCUUUGAACAGGACUUUUGCAAAACGCAGGAUGAGGAGCACAGGACAAAAACCCUGGCUGCAGCUUUACAAUCACAAGGUGCAGCUCUGCAAACGCAAAGUGCGGCAAAGGAUGAAGAUGAGGAUCCUUUAGAAGUAGAUUCUUCUCCCCCUGACAGUCCAGAUUCUUCCUCCAGCAUGUCAGAUGACAGCAAAGAUUCGAGGGAGACCCUCACAAAGCCAAGUUCUGCCCCGACCUCAACCAUUGUACGUCCAGGUUCUCUGCCUCUACACCUGAGCAACGAUCCACUGCACCCUACACUGCCAUCGCCCACGUCUGUCAUCACGCAGGCUCCGCCCUCCAACCGACAGCUCAGCUCACCAACAAGCUCAUACCCCCUCGUAAGGCACCUCGCUAAUGGGCAGACGGUCCCUCUGCUGCCCAGUCCUAUUCAGCUAACGUCAGUCAUAUCUCUUGCAAGGCCUGGGAAUUCUGUGCCCAACAUCCCUGGCAUCCCAGGACCCCCAGUGGGCGGGGCCAGCAGUGGUUCAUCCUCCCCGUCAGGUUAUCAUUUGCAGUCUGAGACCAAGAUGCGCUUGAAGGCAGCACUCACUCAUCAUGACGGAGGUACUGGGGGGGUCGGAUCCUUCCCAGCUGUCCCCCAGAGGCAGGAACAUGGCCAGCAGCCCUCUCAAAAUUCAGAUGCACCAUCGCCUGCCCAACCACAGGUGUCCCCUGCACAGCCAACUGGGGGGCGGCGGAGGCGAGCCUCCGAGAUGGACCCUGAUGAGAGGAGGCAGCGUUUUCUGGAGAGGAACCGAGCAGCCGCCUCACGCUGCAGGCAGAAGCGAAAGCUGUGGGUCAACUCUUUGGAGAAGAAGGCGGAGGAUCUGGCCAGCAUGAAUGUCUCACUCACGAACGAAGUAACGGUGCUGAGGAACGAGGUGGCUCAGCUGAAGCAGCUUCUCCUGGCCCAUAAAGACUGUCCUGUCACCAUCAUGCAGAAGAAAGCAGCUUUCUUAGCUGCAGGAGGAGAGGAAUCGUCCAGGGAAAGUUCUACUGAAGCCGUGGGAUCCCCAGCAGCGGUUAUCCAACAUGGAUCCUCACCCUCCAGCCCGGGGCACACCACCAUCAACGGGAUGAGCGUCCGCGCCGCCGAGGCGGUGGCCAUGUCAGUCUUGGCCGGCAUGGGAUCGGGCCAGCCCGGAGGGGUCGUCAUGGUGACGCAGUCCCAGCCCGCCCCGAGAUGAUGUGCUGACGCAGGUAGCCAGCAGAGACUCCAGUGGCACUCGGAGGCCGGACAACCUGGGGAGCCUCCCUCCCUCCCACGCCCCUCCUACCGUCACGGCCAAUGAUAAUCACGCAAAGACAUCGGGCCACUGCUAGCCCCUCCCCUCUCUGUCUAUGUAAAUAUGAAAAGACAAGAAUGAAUGAAAAAACUAAGUCAGUCUUUUAUCACUUUUAGCAAUCCAGUGCCUGUCUCUGUGUGGCCCACAACAGACCCCUACCAGUCCCCUACCAGCCCCCUACCAGCCCAAGUGUGUUUUACUUGUGUGCUGUUUUCCCUCAUGUCUCCUGUCAUCUUCACCGUUAGCCCCAUUCAGUUGAACAAGACAACGACCAACAGCAAAUGUAAAAUAUCAAUGUAAUCAUAAUCACAAUAAUAGACUAGAACACAAAGAUGACCUGCAGGAUGCUUUUUUUCUGAGCCCGUUACAUGACAUUGGUGUUUAUGCAGUUGGCAUCCUCAUCCUCAUAUUUCUAUGAAAUAUGAAUCAUGUGACCUGUCAAAUGUACAGUGAACAACAGAGACACUCACAGCAUAUUGAAUCAUUACAAUAAGAAUAGAAGAUAAAUAUCAACUGCAUAGAUUAUUCAAACCACUUAGUUUGUCAUCCAUCCCUCACCUUUCACAUGAUGAAUGGAUGGAUGAAGUGUGAUAACGGUUAUCUUUACCAAAUAUUCAAUGCAUUUCAUGGUGAAAUAUAUUUUUAUAUUACGUUCUGCUCCACACUGUCAAUAUGCUUGACCUAUUUUUGGAUUCAUGCCGUUCAUACAUGUGCACAAGUGCUCGUGUGCUCAUGUGCACGUCCUGCUGGUGUUGUGCUUUUCUAUUGGUAGACAAGACGUAUUGUUGUGUAAGGUGCUUCUUUUCAAACCUGAUUCUUUUAUAACGAAUUGGACUUCCAAGACAGUCCCUCCACACCCACCCACAGUCACUGUCUCCUUGACAACCUGUCAUCCCCCCAUGUCUCUGCCCCAAUAAUGCCAUGUGAGCGGUCUUGUAUGUUUGCCAUGGCCAAAUGUCUCCAGGUUACAUUUGUAUUUGUUCAGAGGGACUUUCUCAAACACUCAGGCCUCAAGAUGGGAGGACAAGCAGGUGGACCAUGGGUGGAUGGAUGAAAACAAAUGAAGAUUGGUUAGGUGGACGAGUGAAUGAGUGAAUACAAAUGAAGAUUGGUCAGGUGGAAGGUUCACCCCACCCCACCCCACCCCCACCCCCAAAAAAGAGCUGCCACGUUGACA